CCCAGGACAGCCCACAGCCCAAGGGUGGGGACGCCGGUGAAGGCGGUGACGGUGCUGAAGGUGAGGACCCCGAUGAGGAUUCCCACACUUCCACCUUCAGCUGCUGCCUUUGCUGUUAUCACCGCCUACAACUCCGAGUUGGCCGCAGAGCAGGCGCUGUCCGCGCCGCGCUGCAGUGGGACUCCCGCGGUUCCGCGGGACAUACCCCCUUCGGCGGCUCCUUUAUGGCCGCCAUGAAGCGGCAGAACGUGAGGACCCUGUCCCUCAUCGCCUGCACCUUCACCUACCUGCUGGUGGGCGCUGCGGUGUUCGACGCCCUCGAGUCCGACCACGAGAUGCGCGAGGAGGAGAAACUCAAGGCGGAGGAGGUCCGAAUCCGUGGCAAGUACAACAUCAGCACGGAUGACUACCGCCAGCUCGAGCUGGUGAUCCUGCAGUCCGAGCCACACCGCGCUGGCGUCCAGUGGAAAUUCGCAGGCUCCUUCUACUUCGCCAUCACCGUCAUCACCACCAUAGGCUACGGACACGCUGCACCUGGUACCGACGCCGGCAAGGCCUUCUGCAUGUUCUAUGCCGUGCUGGGCAUCCCUCUGACGCUGGUCAUGUUCCAGAGCCUGGGCGAGCGCAUGAACACGUUCGUGCGCUACCUGCUGAAGAGGAUCAAGAAGUGCUGUGGCAUGCGCAACACCGAAGUGUCCAUGGAGAACAUGGUGACCGUCGGCUUCUUCUCCUGCAUGGGUACCCUGUGCAUCGGGGCAGCUGCCUUCUCCCAGUGCGAGGAGUGGAGCUUCUUCCACGCCUACUACUACUGCUUCAUAACUCUGACGACCAUCGGAUUCGGCGACUACGUGGCGCUGCAGACCAAGGGCGCGUUGCAGAGGAAGCCAUUCUACGUGGCCUUCAGCUUCAUGUACAUCCUGGUGGGGCUGACCGUCAUCGGCGCCUUCCUCAACCUGGUGGUCCUGCGCUUCCUCACCAUGAAUACGGACGAAGAGCCUCUGGAGGGAGAAGGCGGCCAGCUGCUUCCCGGAGGAAACCCCAACAGCGUGGUGGUCCGUGUGUCGGAGGAGGGCCGCGAGCGCCAACCCGAGUCCUUCUUCAAGAGAUGUGGCCGAUCCCUGUGCGCCUUCUGCUUCCGCCGCGUGACCCAGAACGACAUCCAGGAAGACGACGACGACAAGCUGGCCCCGGCAUCCCUGCGCUCCAUCUCCUACAAGGUGGAGGAGAUCUCCCCAAGCACACUGAAGAACAGCCUCUUCCCGUCGCCCCUGGGCUCCGUGUCUCCGGCGAUGCACAGCUGCACGGGUGACAACCUCCAGCUGACCCGCCGCCGCAAGUCCGUCUAAGUGUGGGGAGGGAAGUAGGACUGAAGAGCCUUUUGUCAUGUGGAUGUAAGUUCCAUUGGUCCAGCCCCUCCCCUCCUUAUUUAUUUACCCUUUUUCUUUUUUGUUGUGAUUACAGUCAUCACCAUUCCUUUCUCCCCUCCCUCCUCUUCUGGCCUCAUUUCUCCCCUCUCUUCCAGCCAGGCAGAGCAGUUCAAAGGGAAAAUAGAGACCCAUCCUCUCUGAAACUCACACCUGAGCAUGAAGCAUGGAUCCCUUCCUCCCUCCCCAGCAAAGGGACCUAACUGCAGCUUCAAGAGAGGCGUCCAUGGAUGCUGGGUCUCACUGUGAAGCCCAAGCAGGCUUCGGAUUUCUGAUCUCUCCCGGGGACCUCUUCCACGAGGGGCGAGCAUCAGCACCCUUUCCCCUAAACACCUGUGGGGAUGGCCCAGCUAUACCUAGACAGAAGGCACAGAGGCAUGCUCGUUGUAGGGUCUUUUCCCUGCAAAUCUCCUGGGCUGCCUUGGCAUAGCACGACUCCAUGAGUGACUAUGACCACCACACACUUCUCCUUUGCUACCAUGGGAGUGUGGUUGGUUGUCAUGUCACUGCCCCGGCCAUCAAGGGCCAUCAUUUGUGAUUUCUGUCAUUGAGAUGUUUGCUCUGGCAGGCUCUAGACCACAGCUCUCUCCCUCCUGACCCCACAAAACAUACCUGCUGUGGCCAUGUUACCUACCCCCGCUCUCCUACGGUCUCCUUGUUGCUCAGCAGCCUGGAGGCACAGGGGGACCCUCCUGCCCCUUUUUGCCCCUUUGUGGACUUAGUCAUGUCCUCUUCCGGGUUCCCCUGAUGCUUUCUUCUCCCGGAUGAACACACUGAGAAGCAAACAUCUGGUAGAUCAGCUUAGGAGUAGAGGAUUCAGGAAGCACACACAGAGGGGAGGGAGGGAGGCCCUGGGACGAAGACGGGUCCAAGCAUGAGGUACUGGUUGAAGUAGACACAGGGUACUUCGAUGCUAAUCCCAUUGCUUGCCAUUCAGUUGCACGUGCCUGAGGGACGGAGUGUACCACUAGCAGCCGGGCCCAGGGGUUGCUCCCAGCUGGGCACUACACCUUGGAGGUUGGGGGGGUGCUCACACUACAGAAGCAUGCUGGGACACAUUUCUCCCUGUAGUCGAUGGGCCCCAUGAUGGGAACAUCACCAGGGAAUUGGGAGGGUCAGUGUUUCUUGGGGAAGGUAAUUCUGGUGGAGGGAGGGCGGUUGGGAGAUCAUGCACAAUGACAAAGGACCCUUCGCCUCUGUAGCCCUGGGAGAGGCAACACCUGCCCCCCCCCAUAGGGCUACAUGGUGAAAUGGAAGCUGCACAGACUGGCAUUUUACACGUACAAGACAGCCUCUGCCGUUCACAGGUGGUUGUGCUUUGGAGCCUCCGGCCCUUAUUUUCCUCGUUCUUCCGCUGGUUCUAAGCGGUUCCUGAUGUACAGGCUGCUUGUGAGAACUAGAUGGCAAUAGUCACUGGACAUCUGCUUUGCUCUGGAGAAUGUUCUCUGUGCUUCCUGGGAAAGUAUCUCCCCUUGGCCCAGCUCAGGGCCUUCCUCAGAUCAAUCUGUCGUUGCUCUGUGGAGGCUCCAAACAUGUCGGGAACUACAGCCCCACAUCUGGUGCAGAUGCCGCAGAUGAAACCGUCACAUCUCCCUGGAUACUUCCUCUGCUGCUGGGUGGGGCUGGCGGGCCAGAGGGCAGCCAGAACACUUCAGUUCCACAGGUGACAAGGCUCAGAAGACCUGGGAGACUGGAACGCCAAGCCAGGUGUCUUCAGAUCUCAGAGGGCAGGUGUUAAAGCAUGUGGAUGGGGUGGUGAGGGCUGGGGUCCUAUGACACAAAGGAUGACAUAAGAGGAGGGAGGGGGCAGUGCCUCCGUGGAAAUCACAUGGGUGGGGCUCACACUGGGGCAAAGGCUUCAUAUGGGUUCCAGUGGGAGAGAAGACACCUCCAAGCAGGAGGAUACAUCUGAUGGAUGUGCCUAUUUGCCGGGUUCGGAGGCCGCUCUGCAGUCAGCAUGAACAAAAUUCCAGGAUGGGGUCUGUGUUCCGUUUAAGUCUGUGAUUGUCAUUAUUAACCUUGUAGACCUUUGUCCUCAGGCGCCUUCUUCGUACCAGUGGACCAGAGGACACAUCCAGGACCAACGGUAGUGAGUUCCCUGGCGUGAAUGGCAGGCAGCAGGCCCAUGCAAUUGGCAGAGGCUGCCACCUGCACAGGACAAAGGGCUUUGCUGGACCCCUCCAGUAGCACUGUGUGACCCUGGCAUGUCUCCCUUCCUGGGAGGUAGACCUGAGAAUGAUGUAGAGCACAUCAAGCCUGUCCUCCUGGGCAACCAUCUGUGAAGGAGGGAUCUGGAAGGGUGGGAUGGUUGUGAAAGGAUAGGGUGGAGCCCUUUACUGCAGAUGCUGGUGUGACUCAACUUCUAGAACAGAGGGUAUCUUGGUUUUGUCUGAAUGUGUAUGGGGACACAGAGGUGGGCAGCGGAAGGGUGUGGGCUUGGUCUUCCUAACACCUACCUUAUUUGGCAUGGUGACAGCACCGACAUGGUGAAGAGCUCUACUGGGGCUGGGUUAUGGUCUGGAGGGAGACGCCAGGAGUGGAGGGAGCUUGAGGAUACUUGGGAUAAUUUUUUGGCUUCAUAUCUUCCUCUUACUGUUGUGUCCUAACUCUGACCUCUUUGGAGACUCUAGUCCAGUUUUGGUGAGACGUUGGUAUCCAGAGAACAUGCAUGGUUUGGAAGGGAGGCUUAUAAACUUCAGGCAUAGUCUUGGUUCUGAAAACAGAAGGUGUUGGUUUGCCUCUUGUAGCUGAUUGGUUUGCGGGUAAUGGGGACCUUGGGCAUCUCCCUAAGAGCCAGCCCUGGCUUCCCUUCCUUAUAUGUAAUUGGGCGACAGGGCCUUGGCAAUCCACUUCUGAUUCUCAUCUACAAAAGGGAGGAUGAGCAGCUCUGAAGCAGGUGUCUUUCCGACACGGGCUGGUGCCAGAGGAGACGAAAGCAGCACAGGGCACUCUAGACUCUUUGCUGGCACUUUGGUGGGAGGGCUCGGAGGAGGGACAAGGCCAAGCCCUUCCAAGAUGGGGUUAAGUUCCUAGGAGUGGGCCAACUCCUCUCCCUUGGGAAGGCUCUCCCUUUCUGAGGCUGAGCUGUGCUGUAGACGCCCUCUCAUGAGGAACUGGUCUGCGCUCAGCUCAUCAUCCAUCCAGUGACUUCUCUUUAUGGCAUUCCCCCUAACGACCCAGAUGCUUGUGCAGUGGUGUGGCUGUGGGUGGGACAUUUGCCAGUUCCCCUAAGGGGUCCUAACCUUUCCUCACCCAGAGAUGAUGACAGUCCAGCUGUGAGCUGCAGCUCUGUGUGUGUGUGUGUGUGUGGGGGGGUGCUCACAGGGCUCCCUUCUCUGUAUAAUAGUGACUGACGUCCACCCACUGGUCCCACGGUCACUAGCAGAGCAGGUGGCCAGCUACAUCAAGAGGCCCUCUGAAGAGCUACAUGGGCUAGGCCCUCCCUGGCCCCGUGAGGCUGAGGGCUCAGUGGACCAUGUGAUUCCAAGAUACUGGAGCCCUUGCUGCAGGGCCGGGGAGCAGGGAUGGGAACAUGCCUUGGCAACUGUUUUCAUUUUCUCGAGCUGGAACUUUAGAAGUUGGGUAGAAAACUAAAAAUCUAACGAAAGGGGAAAAAUGUGAUGAGUAGGAACCCAACGAAGCAGAACCCACAAUUAACAAGAUUUCUCUAUAAUUUGAUGGCUCCCCAGAGAAGAACAUACUCCUGAAAAGGACUAAUUAUACAUUUGUUUAUUCAGGCUGUAAAUAGCAUUUUGACAGCUGGUUUUGGGUUGGGAAGGUCUUCUUGAGGCCAUCUUAGCCCACCCUCUGCCUUAUCAGAAAUCUCCACCAAGCAGACACUGCACUGGGGGGUUGACACUGUGAUUCCCACCGGGCAAAACUUAUAUAAGGAGACAGGUCAUUCCCAGUGGGGGAAUCUGAAAACAUCUUGCUAUUUCUCCACAUUUUGUUAGGAAGAUUUACAGUUAACACAUAGAAGAUAAGGGAUAAAAGAUGUCAAAGAUGAUGAACCAAACAUAAACCACUCAGUUGAUGGACAAGGAGGAAGACUUUCUAGCCUACUCCCAGCAGGCCAAGAAAUGGUAAAUUUUCCCCUUGUAGAUGGUCCAAUCUUAACCUCAGCCAGUUGUAUGUCUGUGUACCUCAUGGCAUCAAAACAAAAACAGCAAAAAGCAAAAAAAGCCUGUCAUUUGUGACCCCAGGCAUAGACCUUAAGCUUGAAUUAGUGUUAAAUGCAUAUCUGUCUAACUAACUAACAUGUACUCACAGGGUUCAUUUGGGGGCUGGGGCGGGGACAUGGGGAUGUGGGCCCUGAUGUAAUCAUUGGGGUGUGUGUGUGUGUGUGUGUCCAUGUACAUAUUCACUGGGUAUCUUUGGGUCUCUGGAUGUGUGUGUUGUAUUUUUUGUUGUCAUUUUGUAUUAUUGGGUGUUUCUGUGUGGUGUGGCGUGGUGUGAGGACCUGGGUUUGGUUCUGAAGGUAAAGUUGAUUAUAAUGUUCCCAUGGGGAGGGUGAUGAAAAUCAGGAGAGUUUCACAAGAAAUGGGGUUCAGGGACCCCAGGGCCCAGUGUCACAUUUCAGGAGGGUGGCAAGGUAUGUCUUGAGCCCUGGUGGGAAUCUGCCAUUUUUUCCCAGGGUGGGUGGGUGUGUUUGAAUGACAGGUCCAACCUAGGAGGAGGCAUCGCACCAGACGUGAAAACACCAGUGAUCCCUGCAUGACAGAAGCGCCUGUGAUCCUGCGUGUGUCCUGUGUUCACCCUCUGCCCACUCAGCCUUGGGGAGAGAACGCCUUCACACACGGCCUUAGAAUGCAACCACCACCAAGUGAAUUUAUGUAUUUAUUAAAUAGCUUACCUAAGAAAACCAAGAAAACAAACCUGUAUCACCAACAUUUACAUGUCUUGGUAGACAUCUAGCUCAUGUAAAAUAUGUACCUUAUACAGGGAGUACAUCUUUUUUUCUUUAACUUUUUGUAAUGAAUGCACUAAGCAACUUUUAUUUUACAUGUCUUUACAGGAAAAUAAUUUGCUGUUGCGGUGUAAUAAACUAUUGUAAUUUUCUAAUUUUUUUUUCAUUAAAG